GACGAACCGUGCGAACGUUGUUCGGAAUCACUGGGCUUAAAGGGCGCGUAGGCGGGCUGUCAAGUCCGGGGUGAAAUCCUCCCGCUCAACGGGAGAACGGCCUCGGAUACUGAUGGUCUCGAGGGAGGUAGGGGCACGCGGAACUGUGGGUGGAGCGGUGAAAUGCGUUGAUAUCCAUAGGAACUCCGGUGGCGAAGGCGGCGUGCUGGACCUUUUCUGACGCUGAGGCGCGAAAGCCAGGGGAGCAAACGGG
rnacentral:rRNA from 1 species